ACGUAUGGUGCAAGCGUUAUCCGGAUUUACUGGGUGUAAAGGGAGCGCAGGCGGUUUGGCAAGUCUGAUGUGAAAAUCCGGGGCUCAACUCCGGAACUGCAUUGGAAACUGUCAGACUAGAGUGUCGGAGAGGUAAGUGGAAUUCCUAGUGUAGCGGUGAAAUGCGUAGAUAUUAGGAGGAACACCAGUGGCGAAGGCGGCUUACUGGACGAUAACUGACGCUGAGGCUCGAAAGCGUGGGGAGCAAACAG
rnacentral:rRNA from 1 species